GUGAACGCUGGCGGUAGGCCUAACACAUGCAAGUCGAACGGCAGCACAGCAAGAGCUUGCUCUUACGGGUGGCGAGUGGCGGACGGGUGAGGAAUACAUCGGACUCUACUUUUUCGUGGGGGAUAGCGUAGGGAAACUUACGCUAAUACCGCAUACGACCUACGGGUGAAAGCAGGGGAUCUUCGGACCUUGCGCGAUUGCAUGAGCCGAUGUCGGAUUAGCUAGUUGGCGGGGUAAAGGCCCACCAAGGCGACGAUCCGUAGCUGGUCUGAGAGGAUGAUCAGCCACACUGGAACUGAGACACGGUCCAGACUCCUACGGGAGGCAGCAGUGGGGAAUAUUGGACAAUGGGCGCAAGCCUGAUCCAGCCAUACCGCGUGGGUGAAGAAGGCCUUCGGGUUGUAAAGCCCUUUUGUUGGGAAAGAAAAGCAGCAGGUUAAUACCCCGCUGUUCUGACGGUACCCAAAGAAUAAGCACCGGCUAACUUCGUG
rnacentral:rRNA from 1 species